rnacentral:lncRNA from 1 species
GAAAUGGUAAACCAUUCCAGUAUUUUUGCCAAGAAAACCCCCAAUGGGGUCAUGAAGAGUCAGACACAACUGAAAUGACUGAACAGCAACAUGUGUGCAAUGUAUUAACUUGUAAUGGAAGGUGUACCUAGUCUGGGAGCCACAUCAGUUGUCUGAAUGAAGUACCAUCUUCCUGGAAGGCAUUACAAAUAAUUAUUUUAGAGGAUUUUACUGCAAGGAUUCUGCCAAAGUUUUGUUUCAACUGAAUGGCCCUAUCACUGUGGGAAUGUUUAAGAGGUACCGAUCCAAGCAAAAUUGCAGUUAUUUGGACUGAGGAGUUCCUAUUCCUCAGGUGGAAGUGGCAGCCAGAAGGGGGGAAAAAAAGAAAGAAAAGAAGAGAAAAGAGAAGAAAAGUGCUCUUGGAUGCAUGACCUUGACUCAGAUGUCGGUAGGCUUUGAGCACCUGCAAAGAAAGAAAAACAUUCACUCAGGCAUUACAAAUACGGAUUUUAGAGAAUUUUACUGCAAGAAUUCUGCCAAAGUUUUGUUUAAACUGAACGGUUCUAUCACUGUGGAAAAGUUAAGAGGCACCGAUCCCGGCAUCUUGUGGAAGUCUGAAAGUGGGAAGUGUGUGCUGCUAGUCCAGAAUUGGUAAAGCAAUGAAUUCUAUUUUUAACGCAUCUGCUUCAGGAAACAGACUCUGAGUGAGAGAUACCACCUACACCCUAACCCCCUCAGUGUCUCGCCUUCAGUUUUCAAUAAAGCUUUCAAAAGACGAAAAAAUAUUUUGACA